rnacentral:rRNA from 1 species
GAAUGUGGAGCCGUAGCGAAAGCGAGUCUGAAUAGGGCGAAUGAGUAUUUGGUCGUAGACCCGAAACCAGGUGAUCUACCCAUGGUCAGGUUGAAGUUCAGGUAACACUGAAUGGAGGACCGAACCGACUUACGUUGAAAAGUGAGCGGAUGAACUGUGGGUAGCGGAGAAAUUCCAAUCGAACUUGGAGAUAGCUGGUUCUCUCCGAAAUAGCUUUAGGGCUAGCCUCAAGUGAUGAUUAUUGGAGGUAGAGCACUGUUUGGACGAGGGGCCCCUCUCGGGUUACCGAAUUCAGACAAACUCCGAAUGCCAAUCAAUUUAACUUGGGAGUCAGAACGUGGGCGAUAAGGUUCAUGUUCGAAAGGGAAACAGCCCAGACCACCAGCUAAGGUCCCAAAAUAUAUGUUAAGUGGAAAAGGAUGUGGCGUUGCCCAGACAACUAGGAUGUUGGCUUAGAAGCAGCCAUCAUUUAAAGAGUGCGUAAUAGCUCACUAGUCGAGUGACGCUGCGCCGAAAAUGUACCGGGGCUAAACAUAUUACCGAAGCUGUGGAUUGUCCUUCGGACAAUGGUAGGAGAGCGUUCUAAGGGCGUUGAAGCAUGAUCGCAAGGACAUGUGGAGCGCUUAGAAGUGAGAAUGCCGGUGUGAGUAGCGAAAGACGGGUGAGAAUCCCGUCCACCGAUUGACUAAGGUUUCCAGAGGAAGGCUCGUCCGCUCUGGGUUAGUCGGGUCCUAAGCUGAGGCCGAUAGGCGUAGGCGAUGGAUAACAGGUUGAUAUUCCUGUACCACCCACUUUCGUUUUAAGCGAUGGGAGGACGCAGUAGGAUAGGCGAAGCGUGCGAUUGGAUGUACGUUCAAGCAGUAAGGCUGAGUGUUAGGCAAAUCCGGCACUC